GACGAACGCUGGCGGCGUGCCUAACACAUGUAAGUCGUACGGGACCGGGGGCAACUCCGGUUCAGUGGCAGACGGGUGCGUAACACGUGAAGAACCUGUCCAACGGUGGGGGACAGCCGGCCCAACGGCCGGUUAAUACCGCAUACGAUCGUUCGGGGGCAUCCCUGGGCGAUGAAAGCAGCCGCAAGGUUGCGCCGAUGGAGGGCUUCGCGGCCUAUCAGCUCGUUGGCGGGGUAAUGGCCCACCAAGGCGACGACGGGUAGCUGGUCUGAGAGGAUGGCCAGCCACAUUGGGACUGAGACACGGCCCAGACUCCUACGGGAGGCAGCAGUGGGGAAUCUUGCGCAAUGGCCGCAAGGCUGACGCAGCGACGCCGCGUGU
rnacentral:rRNA from 1 species